rnacentral:rRNA from 1 species
UACGGAGGUGGCAAGCGUUGCUCGGAAUCACUGGGCGUAAAGGGCGCGUAGGCGGGGAGGUAAGUCGGGUGUGAAAUCCCUCGGCCCAACCGAGGAACUGCGCCCGAGACUGCUUCUCUUGAGUCCCGGAGAGGAAGAUGGAAUUCCCGGUGUAGCGGUGAAAUGCGUAGAUAUCUGGAGGAACACCGGUGGCGAAGGCGGCAUCCUGGACCGACACUGACGCUGAGGCGCGAAAGCUAGGGGAGCAAACGGG